rnacentral:rRNA from 1 species
GACGAACGCCGGCGGCGUGCUUAACACAUGCAAGUCGAACGGAAAGACCCUGCUUUUGUGGGGUGCUCGAGUGGCGAACGGGUGAGUAACACGUGAGUAACCUGCCCUUGACUUUGGGAUAACUUCAGGAAACUGGGGCUAAUACCGGAUAGGAGCUCCUGCUGCAUGGUGGGGGUUGGAAAGUUUCGGCGGUUGGGGAUGGACUCGCGGCUUAUCAGCUUGUUGGUGGGGUAGUGGCUUACCAAGGCUUUGACGGGUAGCCGGCCUGAGAGGGUGACCGGCCACAUUGGGACUGAGAUACGGCCCAGACUCCUACGGGAGGCAGCAGUGGGGAAUAUUGCACAAUGGGCGGAAGCCUGAUGCAGCAACGCCGCGUGCGGGAUGACGGCCUUCGGGUUGUAAACCGCUUUCGCCUGUGACGAAGCGUGAGUGACGGUAAUGGGUAAAGAAGCACCGGCUAACUACGUG